UACGAAGGGGGCUAGCGUUGCUCGGAAUUACUGGGCGUAAAGGGCGCGUAGGCGGACAGUUAAGUCAGAGGUGAAAGCCCAGGGCUCAACCCUGGAAUUGCCUUUGAUACUGGCUGUCUUGAGUGCGGGAGAGGUGUGUGGAACUCCGAGUGUAGAGGUGAAAUUCGUAGAUAUUCGGAAGAACACCAGUGGCGAAGGCGACACACUGGCCCGUAACUGACGCUGAGGCGCGAAGGCGUGGGGAGCAAACAGG
rnacentral:rRNA from 1 species